CGGAGGAUCCAAGCGUUAUCCGGAAUCAUUGGGUUUAAAGGGUGCGUAGGUGGGCAAGUAAGUCAGUGGUGAAAUCUCCGGGCUUAACCCGGAAACUGCCAUUGAUACUAUUUGUCUUGAAUACUGUGGAGGUCAGCGGAAUAUGUCAUGUAGCGGUGAAAUGCUUAGAUAUGACAUAGAACACCAAUUGCGAAGGCAGCUGGCUACGCAAAUAUUGACACUGAGGCACGAAAGCGUGGGGAUCAAACAGGAUUAGAUACCCUGGUAGUCCACGCCCUAAACUAUGGAUACUCGACAUUUGCGAUAAACUGCAAGUGUCUGAGCGAAAGCAUUAAGUAUCCCACCCGGGAAGUACGAUCGCAAGAUUG
rnacentral:rRNA from 1 species